rnacentral:rRNA from 1 species
AGCGAACGCUGGCGGCAGGCCUAACACAUGCAAGUCGAACGAACUCUUCGGAGUUAGUGGCGGACGGGUGAGUAACACGUGGGAACGUGCCUUUUGGUUCGGAAUAACCCAGGGAAACUUGUGCUAAUACCGAAUGUGCCCUUCGGGGGAAGGAUUUAUCGCCAUUAGAGCGGCCCGCGUCUGAUUAGCUAGUUGGUGAGGUAACGGCUCACCAAGGCGACGAUCAGUAGCUGGUCUGAGAGGAUGACCAGCCACACUGGGACUGAGACACGGCCCAGACUCCUACGGGAGGCAGCAGUGGGGAAUCUUGCGCAAUGGGCGAAAGCCUGACGCAGCCAUGCCGCGUGAAUGAUGAAGGUCUUAGGAUUGUAAAAUUCUUUCACCGGGGACGAUAAUGACGGUACCCGGAGAAGAAGCCCCGGCUAACUUCGUG